rnacentral:misc_RNA from 1 species
UAACGGACAACGAAGAUUUAUUUCAAGUAUUUACAAAAGCUAAUAUGAUAAGACAACAUUACAAUAACAAGGGCAUAUCCAACUCCGCUUCCUAAUGACUUCCUAAUGACGCUUCCUAAUGAGGUUAAGGUGUGACCUAAAAAUCGGAAACAUAGCAAAGAGCUAACUUGUAUUCAGAAAUACCUAUUACCUUUGGAUUAGUGCAAAACAAAAUAAACCUACACUGUACAUUCGACAAGAUACUACUCUUCCAAUAGAAAAGAAAUAUGACAGGAAGCCUAUAUGUACAUAUUCCAGCUUCGAAAUGCUUCCUCAAUACCUUCUGUUCAGCUACAUUAUGUACACAAAUUUGUAAACCUUAACGACAGCAAUGGAGAACCAGUUGCUUUCCCCAUCCAUGCUCAUGCUUGCAGUUAAACUUCCUCGUCCUCAGACUGGACUUCUUUUUUGGCCACAUUACACUCGUCAUUAUCAAGAUAGAAAUUAGAUGAAGGCCAGCCACGGAACGUAGCGAGAGACAUAAUUUCCUCUUCCGUGAGCGUAUUAGCGAGCUUGUGGACGAGAUCGGCAACACCGUACGAACUACGUCGAGGUGGAACCCAGUAAGAAGCACCAGGACGGAACGGAAGCCAAUCGGGAGCCGAUCGUCGUACUAUGAUCCGAUGAAUGGCUUCCUCAAUCCUCUGCACCGCUAGCGCCUCCGCCUCUGCCUCCGGGGUGUCAGAUCCGGUGCUCCUGUCUGCCUGAGUGGACUCGCUUCUAGAAGCUACCAGUAGCAGAGCAUUUCGGGUGGUGUAUGAGGUGGCGACGGUGGUGGUUCGGAUCAGAUUUAGGGCUUGAGCGAUGGAACGGGCCAUAGAAUUGAGAAGAAUUAGGUAGUUCUAUAAAUAGAUAAACAAACACCGAUGUGG